AAACUUCUUGUUUUUAGCAGAGCUCCUGGGUAUUCACAAAAUGAAGUUAGACUGAGGGGAAUAGGGGCUUCUGGGCACUGCUGCCCAUGCCGUACAUCCCUGAGGGAAGGGGCAGGUGCGCAUGCAAAGAGGGGGAAAUCACUCCCCGUUAGGCUCACACCUUCCCAAUUAAAAACCAGUGCAGAAGCCGUGCAGGCGGGUGAGGGGCUCGCGGCUGCACUGCUGAAGCCCCCGCCAGCCCUCCCCGUUUGGAGGGGCACAAAACGCCGCUUCUCCAGCACUCAGGUGCCGCCGGGCCGGCCUCUGCUGGGUGGUACCGGGGCCGGGCUGGCACCGCUGGGCCCGGGGCCCCGUCCGGAGCCGUCCCGUCCCGCCGGGCCUCGGGCACGUGCCCGCCCUCCUCCGCCCGCGCCCCUUAAAGCCAGCGGGGCCGCGGCCCGGCGGGACGGCGCUGCGCAGCCCCGGCCGCUCGGGAGGCGGCGCCGGUUCCCUCCCCGCCGCGGGCCGCCCAUGGAGAUCUCCCUCAAGUACCUGCCCGGCGGCCGGGCCGCCGCCAGCGGAAAAGCAAUGAUAUGCAGGAGAAGGAGGUAUGUGGUCUUGCUCUCUGCAAUCUCUGAGUAUUCUUCUUUGGCUUUGACUUCCUGCUUCAGUCCAUAAAGAAAAAAAAGAUACUAUGAAAGCUGUAUGUUGAAGGGGAAGAAUAACAAACUAAAUUACAAAAGCCUCCUAGAGGUUUUGCAGCAGUGUUUGACCUAAUAAUUUGCUGUUUCUAAGAUAGCAAAUUACUCAUCCCUUCCUCUAAAUCCAACACCAUCUUAAGAAGUGCUUGUGUCACAGCGCUGCUGCAUGUUCUGCUUCCUGAUGCAUUCAAAUAUCACUGCUUCAAUAGGUCAUGUCAAAAGUGGUCCUCAAAAUCCAGUCAGUAACUUCAAAUGUAUGUGUUCAGUGUGAAAACACUAGGCAGUCUGUCUGGGGAUGAUCAGGCUGUGGGAAUCAGGCGUGCCCCUCGCUUCUGUCACUGAGUGAUGCAUUUCAAACUGGCUGUGGAGAGCUGGACAGGUAGGGGCAGAGAAUAGGAGGCUGUUAAACACACUGCUGUCAUGGUGUGGUUGGUUACCUUACUAUCCACUGGCAAAUGCUGGCUGGCAAGUCCCUCCACAGCCCUCUGUGAGCAGAAGGGUGCUCUGCUGCUUUGCUUUCCGAGGCCACAAAGAUUUCCUGGAUCAAUUCCUGAGACUUCUUUCAGGUUGACCUUCGGCCUUGCUCUGACACCUGCCAGGUAGUCAGCAAGGGAAGGAAAACAAACUGUGAAGGAUCAGGACAGUCUUGAAUAGGAGAUAAUAUCAGGUAGACAGAUUCUCGUAGGUGUCUGUAUGUUUCACGGAUCCCAAAUGAUGUUCUGGAAGUUGUUAAGCCUUCUUGUAGCUGCUUUUGCCUCAUGUCAGCCUAUCACCAAGGCUCCUGUUGCAGCUCCUUUAGGUGUGGCAUAGCAGCUGGACAUCUAUGCCUUACUGAAAAGCAGAAGAGGCAUCUGUCCCAGCGUGGGGAGUAAGUUUUAUUCCAACUCUGUGCAGAAAUCCCCUAGACAGUUCCCUGAGGAAAUCCCGCUCUUUGAUUUCUCUGUAUUGCAGUUGGAAGACCCCUGUGGAUUUGUUGU
rnacentral:lncRNA from 1 species